rnacentral:rRNA from 1 species
GAUGAGCGCUGACAGAAUGCUUAACACAUGCAAGUCCACUUGAAUUUGGGUUUUUUAACUUAGAUUUGGGUGGCGGACGGGUGAGUAGCGCGUAAAGAACUUGCCUCACAGCUAGGGACAACAUUUGGAAACGAAUGCUAAUACCUGAUAUUAUGAUUAUAAGGCAUCUUAGAAUUAUGAAAGCUAUAUGCGCUGUGAGAGAGCUUUGCGUCCCAUUAGCUAGUUGGAGAGGUAACGGCUCACCAAGGCGAUGAUGGGUAGCCGGCCUGAGAGGGUGAACGGCCACAAGGGGACUGAGACACGGCCCUUACUCCUACGGGAGGCAGCAGUGGGGAAUAUUGGACAAUGGACCAAGAGUCUGAUCCAGCAAUUCUGUGUGCACGAUGACGUUUUUCGGAAUGUAAAGUGCUUUCAGUUGGGAAGAAAAAAAUGACGGUACCAACAGAAGAAGUGACGGCUAAAUACGUG